UACGUAGGGGGCAAGCGUUAUCCGGAUUUACUGGGCGUAAAGCGCGUUCAGGCGGUUUGGCAAGUCGGGCAUGAAAUCUCUCGGCUCAACCGGGAGAGGUUGUCCGAUACUGCUGGACUUGAGGGCAGUAGAGGGUGGUGGAAUUCCGGGUGUAGUGGUGAAAUGCGUAGAUAUCCGGAGGAACACCAGUGGCGAAAGCGGCCACCUGGACUGCACCUGACGCUGACACGCGAAAGCUAGGGGAGCGAACGGG
rnacentral:rRNA from 1 species